rnacentral:rRNA from 1 species
AAAGUGGCGCACGGGUGCGUAACGCGUAUGCAACCUACCUUAAUCAGGGGGAUAGCCUCUCGAAAGAGAGAUUAACACCGCAUAAAAUCAAAGAAUGGCAUCAUUCAAUGAUCAAAUAUUUAUAGGAUUAAGAUGGGCAUGCGUGACAUUAGCUAGUUGGUGAGGUAACGGCUCACCAAGGCGACGAUGUCUAGGGGAUCUGAGAGGAUGACCCCCCACACUGGUACUGAGACACGGACCAG